AAAGGAAUAGACGGGGACCCGCACAAGCGGUGGAGCAUGUGGUUUAAUUCGACGCAACGCGAAGAACCUUACCAGGCCUUGACAUCCGGCCGGCAAUCGGGGCAACGCCCGACUUCCUUCGGGACGGCCGAGACAGGUGGUGCAUGGUUGUCGUCAGCUCGUGUCGUGAGAUGUUGGGUUAAGUCCCGCAACGAGCGCAACCCUUGCCCUCAGUAGCCAGCGCGUGGAGGCGGGCACUCUGAGGGGACUGCCGGGGACAACCCGGAGGAAGGCGGGGACGACGUCAAAUCAUCAUGCCCCUUAUGGUCUGGGCAACACACGUGCUACAAUGGCGGCGACAGAGGGAAGCGAGCCCGCGAGGGGGAGCGAAUCCCAAAAAAGCCGUCCCAGUUCGGAUUGCAGUCUGCAACUCGACUGCAUGAAGCCGGAAUCGCUAGUAAUCGCGGAUCAGCAUGCCGCGGUGAAUACGUUCCCGGGUCUUGCACACACCGCCCGU
rnacentral:rRNA from 1 species